CUAAGUUUGAUGGCGACCGGCGCACGGGUGAGUAACACGUAUCCAACCUGCCGAUGACUCGGGGAUAGCCUUUCGAAAGAAAGAUUAAUACCCGAUGGCAUAGUUCUUCCGCAUGGUAGAACUAUUAAAGAAUUUCGGUCAUCGAUGGGGAUGCGUUCCAUUAGGUUGUUGGCGGGGUAACGGCCCACCAAGCCUUCGAUGGAUAGGGGUUCUGAGAGGAAGGUCCCCCACAUUGGAACUGAGACACGGUCCAAACUCCUACGGGAGCAGCAUG
rnacentral:rRNA from 1 species